UUUUUGCUUCAUUAUUCAGGUGUUUUUCAACUUGUUCUAGUUGAGAAAUGAAAAGGGAACCAGGUGUAAAUCCUGGACAGACCCGCUGCUGUAAGCUCCAUCACAACGUAUAGAGCAUCUACUUUAAGCCACUAUCUCCAUUCUUUUGAGAUGGGAAGGCGCUCUGAAUACGGGAGUAAGUCAGAAGACCUGCCGGAAUAUAACAUACAUUG
rnacentral:ncRNA from 21 species